AUGUAUGUACCUCCACAUCGUUUGCUUAGACCACGCCGUACAAGAUGGACUACUAGAAGGUGGUGGUUCCCACUGAGGAUAGGAGGAUGACUGAAUUCAAAACCAGCAUCGAACUGCUUGUGCGAAGAAGAUUUUCAAGAGUUUUCUGAAUAAAGCUGUUUCAAUAAGAC